rnacentral:rRNA from 1 species
CAGCAGCCGCGGUAAUACGGAAGGUCCAGGCGUUAUCCGGAUUUAUUGGGUUUAAAGGGAGUGUAGGCGGUUUGUUAAGCGUGUUGUGAAAUUUAGGUGCUCAACAUUUAACUUGCAGCGCGAACUGUCAGACUUGAGUACACGCAACGUAUGCGGAAUUCAUGGUGUAGCGGUGAAAUGCUUAGAUAUCAUGAAGAACUCCGAUUGCGAAGGCAGCAUACGGGAGUGUAACUGACGCUUAAGCUCGAAGGUGCGGGUAUCGAACAGGAUUAGAUACCCUGGUAGUCCGCACAGUAAACGAUGGAUGCCCGCUGUUAGCGCCUGGCGUUAGCGGCUAAGCGAAAGCAUUAAGCAUCCCACCUGGGGAGUACGCCGGCAACGGUGAAACUCAAAGGAAUUGACGGGGGCCCGCACAAGCGGAGGAACAUGUGGUUUAAUUCGAUGAUACGCGAGGAACCUUACCCGGGCUUGAAUUGCAGAGGAAUUAUUUAGAGAUA